UACGUAGGGUGCAAGCGUUUAAUCGGAAUUACUGGGCGUAAAGCGUGCGCAGGCGGUUUGGUAAGACAGAUGUGAAAUCCCCGGGCUUAACCUGGGAAUUGCAUUUGUGACUGCCCGGCUAGAGUGUGUCAGAGGGGGGUAGAAUUCCACGUGUAGCAGUGAAAUGCGUAGAGAUGUGGAGGAAUACCGAUGGCGAAGGCAGCCCCCUGGAUAACACUGACGCUCAUGCACGAAAGCGUGGGGAGCAAACAGG
rnacentral:rRNA from 1 species